UUUUCACGAUUUGCUAGGGUUCGUCGUCUUUUUCCGAUCUCUGACAACGGAUUUCCAAGAUGGUGUGUGAGUCGAAUCGUCAUGAGGAAUCCCUGGUAGAGUUUCAUUGGCGUCAUUUCAUAGCCGAACCGUCACGAAGAAUCCAUGGUCAAGUUUCAUUGGCGUCGUUUCAUGUAAUGUUCUUCUGCUCUGAAACUUACGGGAUCCAUUAAAGUCGCCAUUAACAACCCUCUCUGGAGGCGGUGGAUAAACACCUAUAAAAAGGCCGGAUGAUCAGCAUGUACUUUAACAUCGUGGAUUUUGGCCAAAAUCAAUAAAAGAAAGUUCCAGUAACCAGAGCUUUUUCCGGGAAGCCAGAGCAAGCAGAGCGAUUGCUCUGACAUUUUUUGAUGUGAAUUUUGGGGAGCUUACGUAUUCAGAGGUUAGAACAAACUAUUUCCUACUGUUGUUAAGGUCCUAAAGAACAUUUACUAUUUCACUCAUUUAAAGGUUUAUACUCCAAACUUUUCUGCCACCAAGUGGCACCAUUGUUUGUGUGAGUGUUUUUGACAGGCUGCUAUGCAACUCCAUGAGAAACUAUUAGUCUUUGAUGAGGAUCGAAAGGUGAUCGUUGCAGGGAGCUUAAAUCCAAAAUUAGUGGGAGUUUUAAAGUAUUUAUUGUACUUAUACGCGGCAUUUCCCAGUAUCCAAUGGAGUGAGAUGGGUCGGCUUCUACUGCUAUACAAUAUGGAAGGGUUAAGAAGAUCAAAUCUUUAACACUGUCGGAAUUGAAUGCUUAUGUAAUCACUUCACCACCAGAGGCUGCAGAGUUCCUAUGCACUCUGGAAAUUGACAACAUUGAAACAGCAAAUGCGUGGUGCUACAUCUCAUGUUCGAAACGCUCCCGGAAACUUCAGCGUGAUUUUUUUAUGUUCACUGUGCCUCAUAGAUAUAGUAGGGAGGAACUUAACACCCCAGCUGAAGCUUUCAGAAUUUAAUUUCUCAGCAAAGCAUCAGUCAUUCACCGUAUCCGCAUUUUUGAUCGCAACCAACAUGCACAAGUGAUGAUAACCCGACGAUGAAAUGCCAUGAGUUGGAGCUGUGAAAAAAGAUUCAUCCCAAGGUUUUGAAAGCUGUUAGUUGUCAACAACAGCGGCCCCAGUAAUCAUGUCAUGGUGGAAGGCCACCCAGGAGGAAAUAUCGAACCAAACAAUAUCCCUGUCUCCUGAAGAGUUUCCAGAGGCCGAUGGUGUGCACACUUCGAAGAAACCUCGCAAUGGGAGGGAAUAGGUGGCAUAAGUGUGGCGGUGUUCAUCCUCCAAAAAGAAAUUGAGAACCCAAGUCUCAUUUUACAUAAAUAUUGUUUACUAUGAGUGAAUGGUUGAGUGGUGGGGAUUUGGGUUUAGUAGGCUACACAUCUCAGAUUCAAUAUUUAGUUUAAACGAAAUCAGUUAUUGAAGGAUGUGGUUUACAUUUUUCUGAAAAGUUGGUUUGUUAUUGAUUUCUUAUAUAAGGUUUCCCUUUAAAUAAAAUAUCUUAUUAAAUUAAGAAUUUAAGAUGAAUAUAAGUAAUACAGUGUUAUUUUAUUAAUCGUUUGUAAAGCUCUUUCAAAGUUAUGUAAACAUUUGAAUCAUAUAUAUUAACAAUACAUUAAAUGCUA